rnacentral:lncRNA from 1 species
ACCAAUAUACGGUACCUCAUCUAACAGUUAUUGGUGAUAAGUAUACCAAUGUGUCAAUAACUCUUUGUCCAAAUGCUUCUCUAAGUAUGUUACAGUGACUUGGUCUCUAAAUCGUAUGAGCUCACCUAGCAGUUAUUGACCAUACUUCCUAGUUAAGCCCAACCCUCUAUUUACUAAUAGGUGCAAAGCUGUCAUUGGAUCCCUCACCUAACAGUUAUUAGGUCCAACCCCAUCUUUACCCUGGGGCAUCUAAUGCCAAUAAAGUGCUUAUGCCUUCCCGAUGCAACCGAACCACUAUAACCAAACAAGAAUGAUCAACACCAAAAAAAGCAUCCGCAUCUCUACAACAAUGGAAGAUCGGUGACUUAAUAUUUAGUGGAGAGAUUUAGGUUCAGGUCUCUUCUAAUAGUCACAUACAUCUGAUGCAGAUGACUAAGCUAGUUCAGGUCAGCACAUCUUAUGUCUGACAACUUAAUUGGUAUGGGUGAACUCGAGUCAACAAGUAACCUAAUAUAAAACACAAACUCCUAAAAUGGUCAGGUAAAUGAAGAUGAGUGGGGAUUCUCUCGUUGCUUUCCUUAAAUACCAAUGAAUUGGCCAGAUCAAACAACAAAACUAAUUAAAGAACCACCAUCUAAGACUUGCCUUAGACACCAAAUUCGUUGAUUAAAUCGAUCAAGUUAACCUAUGACUCGGGCUCGAACCAUUAAGCGAAAUUUGAUCUUGAUUUAAUCAUUUCACAUCACAUGUGAAUCAAUUUGACCAACUACAACUAAACUCAAUUUUGAGCCCC